rnacentral:lncRNA from 1 species
GGGGCCGCCGGGUGCAGUGGGAGAACCGGGCCUUCCUGGGGAAGCCGGGAUGAAGGGUGACCUUGGACCCCUGGGCACUCCUGGGGAGCAGGGCCUCAUUGGGCAACGGGGAGAGCCAGGCCUCGAGGGUGACAGUGGCCCCAUGGGACCUGAUGGGCUGAAGGGGGACAGGGGAGACCCAGGGCCUGAUGGAGAACAUGGCGAGAAAGGCCAGGAAGGGCUGAUGGGUGAGGACGGGCCCCCCGGCCCCCCUGGCGUCACUGGUGUCCGGGGUCCUGAAGGAAAAUCAGGGAAGCAAGGCGAGAAGGGCCGCACUGGAGCCAAGGGCGCCAAGGGCUACCAAGGACAGCUGGGUGAGAUGGGCGUCCCUGGAGACCCUGGACCCCCUGGCACUCCAGGCCCUAAAGGGUCCCGGGGCAGCCUGGGACCAACGGGUGUUCCGGGACGCAUGGGGGCCCAAGGAGAACCGGGACUGGCUGGUUAUGA